rnacentral:lncRNA from 1 species
CUCCUCCAUGUAUCUAUGUUGUUCCUUUUCUCUAUCUCUAAUAAUAUCUACUUCUCCCGUGGAUGUAGGCGGUUUGCCGAACCACGUUAAAUAUUGUGUCGGUGUGCUUAGCCUCCAAUGAGCAACUAUCAAAACAUUACCGGUUAGAGUUCCCAACAGAAUAUUGAAGGACAUUGAAGCUGUUUCACUGGGAACAAACAGAACUUGCUUGUCUAUUGAAAACUCAAAAAAGACACGAUAGAAGCUUAGAAAGCUAAUACUAAAAUUAAGUACACAGAUUUGCUGCAACAACCUCUAAUUCUUAUUCCUGGACGACAAGCACAAAAAAAAGGACUAAGAAUUUAUUCUCUGCAAUUUCCAAGGGCCUGGAAGAAUAACAAGAACACUGUUUCAGAUCUGACACAGAUCUGUGAAAAAGACAGGUCAAUAUGGUUAGAUGAUUGGGAAAAAAAAAGUAACUGAUACUUUGCAGGACUUGCACUUCAGAAACACUUUGGGAUUAAGUUUUCUUGAUAAUAAAGAUGUCACAAGUAUCACCAGACAAUGCCUCGCUUCCCAUUCUUCUCACCUAUCACAUGAUAAACAGUGGAAUGUUUUGUGUUGGACAGUGGAAAAGAUAUCCAAAGCUGCUAUGGAUUGUAAUGAUCUCUGGAAUGACACAGGAAAAGGUGUAGCGAAAAAAAUAGGGCUUUAUCUGAACUUCUAAAAUUAUUUGAAAUUAGUGGGUUGCACAAGCACAAGUUUGAAAAUAUAAAGAUAUCCAACAGCUCCAACUGAUUGUUCGUUUAACCAUCAUAUGAUGCGCAACAUUUGUUGUUGACGCCAAGUAGACUAUCUAGCGAAGCUUGUGUGUUUGUAUUUCAAGUGAAUUACAAUGAAUGCCUGAUGACUGUAUGGAUACUAUGUGGAAAUCAGCCAAUGAGUUUUACUUUAGAAGUGUGGCAUUUAUGCAGUGUAUGCAAAGGAUAUGCAUGAAACGCCAUGGCGAUAUUACUUAUGAUCAGGCUAGUACGGCAGUCUCUUUUCUUGACCAUAUCAGUGUUAGACAACAAUCACAACGUGCAACUGCCUAUGGUUUUUCUAAGAAAUUGAAGUGCUUGCUGGAAUGUACAUAUGCUUUUGAAAACCCAUACUUCAAGUGCACUGACAUUGAUGACAGAACUAGCAGUGAUCACUCUACUGUACAAAAUCAGCAUGCCUUCUUUCAGUGCAUGUGAAAACAAGAGCAACUUUUUGAUGGUCUAAUUACUUUGUUGGCUGAAGAAUCAUUGUUGUUGAGAAUAGUGGCAAGCACCCAUUUGAAGUCUUGUCAAAGUGUCAAACCUUUUGCAAUUUAUGUUCUUCAAUUCAUUGAGAAAUCUAUCCCAUCUACGCGGAAAUCCAAGGAGUCAUUGGAUAACUAUCUUCUUGGUCAACUAGGAGGCCUGCAAAGUCUUCUACAGGAAUCAUUGGAUAAAUCUCUGCUUGGCCGUGUUGUUGUUUAAUAUGCUGGACCCUAGCGUCCUUACAUUAUUUCAGAACAUAUGGAACAAUUGGUGUAUAAAACCUUCCAAGUCAUUAAGGAGUUUGCGGUGUUGGUGGGAGAAACCACUAGUGGUGGCUCUGAUACCAAUUGUUGGGGAUUUCUGCUCUCCCUGCGGAACUGUGGUGUUCAUGAUCAUUGCUCAAAGGAGGCUAAGCACACUGACACAAUAUUUAACGUGGUUCGGCAAAUCGCCUACAUCCACGGGAGAGAUCAAUAUUAUUAGAGAUAGAGAAAGAAUACAACACACGGAGGAGGAUCACAUCCACUCAACUCCCAUCUCUCAUUGCUACAUAGGGCAGCAGCUGCAUAAGGCAGCAGGGCUGCUGGUGGCAGCCCUUCUCUUUCUUUCUCUCUUCUUCUCUCUUUUGUUCUUGCUCUCUCUCAUUUUAUGCUGCACUCUUGGUGUCUAUUUAUAGGCUUCAAUGACAGCUCCUCUUGCUCCUUUGUCAACAGUGGUGGCUGCCAAACUUUGACAUUAGACAAUGGUUGUUGGCUGCCACCAACAACCCACCAUUGUAGCCUCCUUCUUUGACAAUGUCAAGGGGCUGCAAAUGCUGCACCAACAGCCCUCUUUGACUCUCACAUGGCAGCCAUCUUCUUUGACAAUGGCAGCCACAUAAUUGGCAAUAUUCCAACAUGCGGAGCAUUUCUUUGAUUUCUGUAAAUAAGACAGGAAUAGAAACUUCUUCAUAGAGACGCGCUUGGUCGUUUUGAUGACGCGUUUUAUGGCUAUUUAAACUAGAUCUCGUGAAAAAAAAAACCAUUAAGAAAUGGCUCUUUAAACUCCACGACCGUUCAGAAAUAUUUCACACACCAGGUCUCAUGAAAAAAAACAGCAACUGUUGAGAGACAGCUACAACCCAACACUGUGGAAAAUUCAAAUCACAAAAGCAAGUGACGCGGAACCUCUACUCGAGACAGUCAACCUACAUCGAAGUUCCAAAGAAUGUUCAUCAGCCAUAUAUAUUUACCUUGUUAGCCCACCUUAUUCAACUUGGUAUUCUUAAGUUUUGUGUGAUAAAGUAGGAGAUAUUGGCAGCGAGUCACCUCUGUUUUUUUUUACGGGGUUGGAAGCUGAUUUAUUUGUAAAACAAAGAAGUCUCCUAUGCUGGCAGAAUAUAUUUGGAUGAGAUAGAGCUGCUAGCAGGGUCAGCCUAGUGGACAAGGAUGAUCUCUGGACAUAUCUUUUAUCUAAUUAAUUUGGCCACAUCUUAUAGAACUAAAGCCUUACAGUUAUUCUCAUUUAUGUCCAAGCACAAUGUAUUGUAAAGAUCCUUAUUGUUUCCUCAUCAACUUGAUCUUCCUCACUAAUGCUUUCAAAAUUAAGUUUUAACCAUUCCUCUAAUGUUAUGGAGAGGCAAUAAUCCACUAACACCACUGUCAACAACUUAAGCAUCAAGUUGGUGCAAUUUUGCACUUACCCCCGUUUUGAUC